CACCAGAGGUCCUUCUGGCAGGGCCCGGGGUGGCAGCAGCAGCAGCAGCAGGAGCAGGAGAGGUCCAGCAGGGUGGCCCCAAAACCCCAGCCCGGCCAUUUCCACCCAGCCCAGACGCUGAGCUCAGCCCACUGUCUGGGCCGCAGUCCCGCCUGUCCCAGCCCUGCACUCAGCACCCCCAUUAUAGCAGGCCCUGGCACGCUUCCCCAGGGGCCACAGAUCCCAUCCCCCAGCGCCUCUGCCAGUCUUUGAUUAACCCGUUUCAUCUUCGUUUCAUCUUCACUGCUGCCCCAGCAGACGCUUGAUGUGCUUGUCAUCAUCCCCAUUGUGCCGAUGGGGAAACUGAGGCACAGAAGGGUUCUGUAACUUGCCCAAGAAAACACUGAGGUUUCUCAGACAAAGCUGCGAUUUGAACCCAGGUGCCUUUAACCUGGAUGCAGACUUGGAAAGAGACCCUCACCCCGCAUUGUUCAUCUCAGCCACAGCCUUGACCUCCUGAGUCAGAGAGGUCGACGGUAGUAACCAUGUGCUUGAUUUUCUGUGCUUUGAUGCUUUGACACCAGGGGCCAUGCUAUUCAUUAGAAGGACUGCCCCUCCCGGGGUUACCAGUUCCUGGAAAUAGUCACGGACUGGCCCAGGCGCAUGCCUCUUCUGUACAAACCAGCCAACCCAGAGCCCACACCCCAACCACCCGGGCCACCAUCCACCUGCCCUGAUCACCUGGGGCAGGGUACUGGACAACUCAGGACAGCCCCUGUGCCCCAGAGCCUGCUUAAAUGGCUGAACCAGCCACUCUUUACCCUACCUUAUCCCACAGAAAACACAAAGAAGCUGCUUGCUUCAGGUCUGUCUCCCGGGCACCCCUAGUGCCUCCCCAUGUGGCCCCCGUGGCAUGCUCCCUCCUCUGGAGAAACUGAGCAGUGUUGUACAACCGUGACCACUGAAUCAGCAAAUAAGGACCCACUGCUUCAUGAAUACAAAAUGUGACCCUGGCCAUGGCCGUGUUCACCAUCCUGACCUCCCUCUACUUCUUCAACAAGGCUCAGCAGUGAGAAGACGCAGGACCUCCCUACCCAAAAGCCCUGCCUCUGCCGGGACCAUCGCUCUGAGGCCGAAUAAAUGUAACUGAAUCUGCACAUCCUGCUCCCCCGCCCACUGCCCCUGCGGCCAGCCUCGGGCCUGCAUCACACUUGGGGACUCCGUGUUUCAGGAGGGACGGGGUAGAGGUCCGGACUUCAGAGUCUGAGAUAGGAGAGUGGUGAGGGCCCACCCUCUCAGGUUUGAGGCUAGGAGCUGGGAGUCUGAGUUGGGUUUUGAGGGAUGAGUAGGAGUCUGUCUGGGGCAUUCCAAGAAGAGGAAGAACAUUUCAACUCUGGGUGUAAGGGCACAGAGGGAAGAAAGAGCAGGGCAGAUUCAGCGCCUGGCACCAACACAGGCUGCUGUGUACUUCAGAUUUGUUAUUUCCCUCUGAUCCCCCGAUUUCUUCUCCAUCAGACAAAGGCAAAAAGCUUUGUCCAAUGGGCCCCAGAAAACCACAGCCAGGGCAGCCUGCGAUCCAAGAUGUGAAUGCACUUGUCACAUCAGCUGCAGCAGGCUUUAGUUAUCAUUAUCUCCAUCACUGUCAUACUGUAUCAACACAUCU